GAUGAACGCUGGCGGCGUGCCUAAUACAUGCAAGUCGAGCGAAUGGAUUAAGAGCUUGCUCUUAUGAAGUUAGCGGCGGACGGGUGAGUAACACGUGGGUAACCUGCCCAUAAGACUGGGAUAACUCCGGGAAACCGGGGCUAAUACCGGAUAACAUUUUGAACCGCACGGCUCGAAAUGGAAAGGCGGCUUCGGCUGUCACUUAUGGAUGGACCCGCGUCGCAUUAGAUAGUUGGUGAGGUAACGGCUCACCAAGGCAACGAUGCGUAGCCGACCUGAGAGGGUGAUCGGCCACACUGGGACUGAGACACGGCCCAGACUCCUACGGGAGGCAGCAGUAGGGAAUCUUCCGCAAUGGACGAAAGUCUGACGGAGCAACGCCGCGUGAGUGAUGAAGGCUUUCGGGUCGUAAAACUCUGUUGUUAGGGAAGAACAAGUGCUAGUUGAAUAAGCUGGCACCUUGACGGUACCUAACCAGAAAGCCACGGCUAACUACGUGCCAGCCGCCGCCGUAA
rnacentral:rRNA from 1 species